AAGGAAAACAGGCUGGGUUUGAAGAUGGAAGAGGGGGUCUUGGAGAUGAGCAUGAGGUGGCCUCUAGAAGC
rnacentral:tRNA from 1 species